rnacentral:rRNA from 2 species
UAGGGAAUUUUGCGCAAUGGACGAAAGUCUGACGCAGCAACGCCGCGUGAGGGAUGAAGGUCUUCGGAUUGUAAACCUCUGUUGCAUGGGAAAAAAAGGUAGCAAUACUUUGAUGGUACCAUUUGAGGAAGCACCGGCUAACUACGUGCCAGCAGCCGCGGUAAUACGUAGGGUGCAAGCGUUGUUCGGAAUCACUGGGCGUAAAGGGAGCGUAGGCGGGAUCGUAAGUUAGGAGUUUAAUACAUGGGCUUAACCCGUGGCUGGCUUUUAAUACUGCGGUUCUUGAGUAUGGGAGAGGGCGAUGGAAUUCCAGGUGUAGCGGUGGAAUGCGUAGAUAUCUGGAAGAACACCAGUAGCGAAGGCGGUCGCCUGGCCUAAUACUGACGCUGAUGCUCGAAAGCUAGGGGAGCAAACAGG